rnacentral:rRNA from 1 species
GACGAACGCUGGCGGCGUGCUUAACACAUGCAAGUCGAGCGGUAAGGCCCUUUCGGGGGUACACGAGCGGCGAACGGGUGAGUAACACGUGGGUGACCUGCCCUCAGCUCUGGGAUAAGCCUGGGAAACCGGGUCUAAUACCGGAUAUGACUCCAUGACGCAUGUUGUGGGGUGGAAAGCCUUGUGCGACUGAGGAUGGGCCCGCGGCCUAUCAGCUUGUUGGUGGGGUGAUGGCCUACCAAGGCGACGACGGGUAGCCGGCCUGAGAGGGCGACCGGCCACACUGGGACUGAGACACGGCCCAGACUCCUACGGGAGGCAGCAGUGGGGAAUCUUGCGCAAUGGGCGAAAGCCUGACGCAGCGACGCCGCGUGAGGGAUGACGGCCU